rnacentral:tRNA from 1 species
GAUGUAGCUCAGUGGUAGAGGGUGUGGUUAGCAUGCUCAAGACCCUAGGUUUAAUCCCUAGUGCA